UACGUAGGGGGCUAGCGUUGUCCGGAUUUAUUGGGCGUAAAGAGCUCGUAGGUGGUUCGGUUAGUCGGAUGUGAAAUCUCCAGGCUCAACCUGGAGGGGUCAUUCGAUACUGCCGUGACUAGAGUUCGGUAGAGGAGUGUGGAAUUCCUGGUGGAGCGGUGAAAUGCGCAGAUAUCGGGAGGAACACCUAUGGCGAAGGCAGCUCGCUGGGACGUUACUGACGCUGAGACGCGAAAGCGUGGGGAGCAAACAGG
rnacentral:rRNA from 1 species